rnacentral:piRNA from 1 species
UGUCCAGUACACGUGCACUCAGCACAUCCCCA